UCGGGCGGCGGCAGCGGCCCGGUGGAGGCGGGGCCGAACAGGGCGAUGUAGUUGCACGCUCUAGACCCGAAGCGGAGUGAUCUAGCCAUGGGCAGGUUGAAGCGGAGGUAAGACUUCGUGGAGGACCGAACCCACCAGGGUUGAAAACCUGGGGGAUGACCUGUGGUUAGGGGUGAAAGGCCAAUCAAACUCCGUGAUAGCUGGUUCUCCCCGAAAUGCAUUUAGGUGCAGCGUCGUGUGUUUCUUGCCGGAGGUAGAGCACUGGAUAGGCGAUGGGCCCUACCGGGUUACUGACCUUAGCCAAACUCCGAAUGCCGGUAAGUGAGAGCGCGGCAGUGAGACUGUGGGGGAUAAGCUCCAUGG
rnacentral:rRNA from 1 species